CGUCAAAGCUUGUAUGAAAGGCUUCUCGAGACCUUAAAACCCUACCCCAAUACUGAAUAAUUCCAUACAUCUAUGGAAACUAUAAUGUUAAAACUAGUAACAUGAAGUCUGAUCUUCUCUUAAAUGUAAGCUUAAGUCAGAAUGGACAAUACACUGACAAUUAACAAUUUAAACCAAAGUGACAACAAACCAAGAAAACCCCACUUAAACACCUGUCAACCUAACACAAGAGCAUUUAAAGAAAGACUAAAAGAAAAAGAAGGAACUCGGCAAAACUGAUUCCGCCUGUUUACCAAAAACAUCGCCUCCUGAAUAUGUGAGCUAUAGGAGGUGCAACCUGCCCAGUGACUCUGUUUAACGGCCGCGGUGUCCUAACCGUGCGAAGGUGGCGUAAUCACCUGUUUUUUAAUUAAAGACCUGUAUGAAAGGCAUCACGAGAAUCAUACUGUCUCCUUUCUCUAGUCGGUGAAACUAAUCUCCCCGUGAAAAAGCGGGAAUAAUACUACAAGACGAGAAGACCCUUUGGAGCUUAAGACUAAAUAAGUAAUUGUCUAUUUCUAUAAACCCACUUUAUCUUACAACAUUCUAUUUAUAAGUCUUGGGUUGGGGCAACCGCGGAGUAAAAAUAAACCUCCAAGCUGAACGGAACUUUCCUAAACAAAAAGCAACAACUUUAUGUAUCAAAAAACUGACACAAUUUGACCCAAUAUUUUGAUUAACGAACCAAGUUACCCUAGGGAUAACAGCGCAAUCCACUUCAAGAGUUCAUAUCGACAAGUGGGCUUACGACCUCG
rnacentral:rRNA from 1 species